rnacentral:rRNA from 1 species
GCGCACCAGUCGCGAAACCUUCGCAAUGCGGGAAACCGCGACGAGGGGACUCCCAGUGCCUACGCUCAGCGUAGGCUGUUCCCGAGCCUAGAAAGCUCGGGGAGUAAGGGCUGGGUAAGACGGGUGCCAGCCGCCGCGGUAAUACCCGCAGCCCGAGUGGUGGCCACUAUUAUUGGGCCUAAAGCGUCCGUAGCCGGCCCGGUAAAUGCCUGGGUAAAUCGUGAGGCCUAACCUCACGAAUUCCGGGUAGACUGCCGGGCUAGGGACCGGAGGAGGGAGAGGGUACUCCAGGGGUAGGGGUGAAAUCCUGUAAUCCCCUGGAGGACCACCGGUGGCGAAGGCGCUCUCCUAGGACGGGUCCGACGGUGAGGGACGAAAGCCAGGGGAGCGAACCGGAUUAGAUUACCCUCGUAGU